rnacentral:rRNA from 1 species
ACCUAGGAAGUGUUUUGGGGCUAUGGAAGGGUUUAGAAGGCCUAUAAAAGGCCACACAUUUAGAUCAAUAAGGGCCAUAUGUGCUGGAGAGGCUUAGGCAUAAAUAGGGACCUUCCCCUUAAUUUGUAGUUAAUAAAAGAAGCAAUAAGAGAAAAGUAAAAGGAAUCAAGUAAUAGACUUAGCCAUAUUAGAGACUUGGGGAUAGACAUAGGAGUCAUUGUAAGGUCAUUAAGCAAUUAGACAUAGCAUCAAGUAAAAAGAAAUAUAAUUGGUUUAACUCUCCUUCCUAGCUUUCUCCUAAGUUCUUAGGGAGCCAAUGGAAUGCAUAGCAUAAGUGUUUAGCACAGAGUCAAAAAAGAUGUUGACUUAGGCACAUGGAAAGUAAUUUCCAGCGUAAAGUCACACAGGUACUAGGCUUAAGCCCCCAUCCUGUGACAGUUAGUAUUAGAGUAGGUUUCAACCUAGGGGGAUCAAAAUCUUUGUUAUGAUUAAUGUUGAUGUCGAUUUCAGUUGUGUGGUUAGGUUGUAUGCUAGUGCAUUGCUUAUGAUGAUAGCUUGCAUACAAGGUUACCUGGUAUGGGCAUUGCAAGUUGUCAGUGCCAAGAGUGGGCACAAAGAUUCUUGAUUUCUCAUAAAGAUGUGCUAGAGAUCCUUGGUUUGAGCUUUAUGUUUGUGGUUGAAUGCAUAGGUGAUGUGUGUGAGGGCCACCCACCUAUGUGUAAAGGGAUAAAGGCUAGUUUAAAAGAGAGGUUGUCAUCCAUGAAAGCUAGUUUGAAGACACCAAAGAUCACUUAUGAGUGCUAGACUCCACACAUAAUGAGUCUGACAAAAGGUAAAAGCCAUGGGUAAAAGCUAAAUGAAGCUAUAGGUUACAAGACUUGAAGUAGGAGUAUUGCCAUUGCUGAGAUAGUGGACAAGGCUGAGUGCAGUAAGUCUCUAUAGCCCAAGGGUAAGAGCUGAGCCUAGGGGUAAAGGCUUGAUUAGGAGAGACAAGAGUAGCAGUUCUUUAAAAAAAAGAGAAGGCCAAUGAAGAACCACAAUAUCAGAAGGUAAGGAACAAGGAUUUAGUCUAAAAUAAAGGUACCAUGACCAUGUCCUUUAAUUGCUUCUUAUGCUCAAGACCAUAUAAAGCCAAGGAACACCCAUAAUAGAAGAAGCUUCAAACCAUUGUAAGGACUUAAGAAAAGUUUAAUGGCAAGAGCCAUGAUGGUGGUUAAAUAGAGAAAAAGAGGAUCUCUCAAAUAGCCAGAUGAGCAACAUAUGUUGCUUGGUGUCUAGUGCACCUCAGCAACCCUUGAAAAUUUGGAGCACCAAGUGCCAUUCGUGUACAAUCAUACUCAUAACCACAUCAGGUUUCCAAGGUAAACAACCAUUGGUCAAUGGAACAAUGUAUGCAAGAGAAGUCAGCAAAAUGGAUUUGUAACCUCGAGAAAAGGAUUAACUCUGAGGGCUGUUCAUGGGGGUCCUAUUCCUGAACCCAUCAGCUAUCAAUGCACUAUUGAGCUACUCUCAUGACGAGCAAGUCACCAUGUGUUGAUCGGGAGCCUUCCCCAAAUAAUGAAUAGUCAACUUUGAAUUAGUAUGGACUAAGGGAAUCUGACUAUUUAAUUAAAACAAAACAUUACGAUAGUCUCUACAGAUGCUCACACAAUGUGAUUUUUGCCCAGUGCUUUGAAUGUCAAAGUGAAAAAAUUCAACCAAGCAUAGGUAAACGACGGGAGUAACUAUGACUCUCUUAAGGUAGCCAAAUGCCUUGUAAUCUAAUUAUUGAUACGCAUGAAAGAAUUAAUGAGAUUCCCACUAUCACUGUCUACUAUCUAGUAAAACUACACCCAAGGGAAUGGGUUUGGCAGAAUCAGCGAGGAAAGAAGACCCAAUUGAGCUUGACUCUAGUCUGACUUUGUGAAAUGACUUGAGAGGUGUAGGAUAAGUGGGAGCCCUUAGGUGAAAUUGAAAUACUACUACUUUUAACACUACUUUACUUAGUUUGUAAAUCAAAGGUAGGGCACGACCCUUUAUUUUAAACCCAAAGCCAGCCUUGAUCAAUCAAUCUAGGUGAAAGACAUUAUUAAGUGAGGAGUUUGGCUAGGGUGGUACAUUUAUUAAAAGAUAAUGCAAGUGUCCUAAGAUGAGCUCAAUGGGAAUAGAAAUCUCAUGUAGAACAAAAGGGUAAAAGCUCAUUUGAUUUUGAUUUCUAGUACAAAUACAAACUAUGAAAGCAUGGCUUAUCAAUCCUUUAGACCAUCAGAAUUUAAAGCUAAAGGUGCUAGAAACCACACGGAUAAUUCACUUGUGGCAGCCAAGCAUUCAUAGUGAGUUUGCUUUUUGAUCCUUGAAUGUCAGCUUUUUUGAUCAUUAUGAAGCAAAAUUCACCAAGUGUUGGAUUGUUCACCAGCCACUGGAAACAUGAACUAGGUUUAGACUAUUAUGAGAUAGAUUAGAUUUACCUUACUAAUUGCAGUGUCACAAUAGUAAUUCAACCUAGUAUGAAAAUAAUCAUUGAUUCGCACAAUAGGUCAUCAAACUUGGUUGAAAAGCUAAAGGCACAACGUUACCAUGUACUGGACUAUAACCAAAUGCCUUCAAGUCAAAAUCUAGGCUAAAAGUGAUGCAUGUGCCUAUCACCCAAAUGUUGACCAGCAGUAAGGGUCAAUGCCUCUAAGGGCAUGUGUCCUUAGUGCAGCCCCCAUGUUGAACAAGCUACAUGGGCCUCCUUAGAGCUCAAUUCCCAUCGAA